rnacentral:hammerhead_ribozyme from 1 species
AUCUAGCUGACCAGUCCCAAAUAAGACGAAACAUGAGUCCUGGAU